AUGAAAUUUAAAAGCAAUUGAAUAGUUCAAGAAGGAGAUAUUAGCAAUAGAAGUUUAGUAUUUAGAUUGGAGUAAAAAGUUAUCCAACACAUAAUUGGAUUAUCUUGUAUUUCUUUCAAUUGGUAAGUGUAAUUGAUUUCAUCUUUUUUUUACUUGUUUCUAAAUAAGGUAUUAAAAAGUUUGUAAAUUUUGAGUUGAUAUCAAUGGUUCAAUCAUAAAUUGUUGAGAUUUCAAUCUGCUAUAAGAUUCAUUAAGAGUUAUUUA
rnacentral:lncRNA from 1 species